CAACAGCCAUGGAUGUUGGAAAUGUAUGUAUAGAAAACUCAGGAUAAGUUAAGAUCCUGGAGAAAAGGCAAAGAAGGAGAGAGCAAAUAGUAACUAGGUGGAAAUCGAAGACAGAGGGUGCGAAAGAGAAGGAUGUUUCUGAAAAUCUUGGGGGUACAAAGACUCUUCUUCGUAAAUGCAGAGGAGGACAAUUACUCUCUGCAAAGGUCUUCCAAAGACUGGGAGAUCCAAAAAUGGUAAAGGAAAGGACCAGUGCUCUGUUGUCACAGAUGAUAAAAAUAGGAUGAGACUUUUGACAUACCAUAUAAUUUCUAACCUAAACAUCCUAGAAGCAUAGAUUAUUGAGUUUUACAAGCAGUUUUACUACUGAAAGAUCUUACGUCUUUGCAGCUGUCAUAAGUUAUCAAUUGCAAUGGAAAAGGGAA
rnacentral:lncRNA from 1 species